rnacentral:rRNA from 1 species
AUUGAACGCUGGCGGCAUGCCUUACACAUGCAAGUCGAACGGUAACAGGUCUUCGGAUGCUGACGAGUGGCGAACGGGUGCGUAAUACAUCGGAACGUGCCCGAUCGUGGGGGAUAACGAGGCGAAAGCUUUGCUAAUACCGCAUACGAUCUACGGAUGAAAGCGGGGGAGCUUCGGACCUCGCGCGGACGGAGCGGCCGAUGGCAGAUUAGGUAGUUGGUGGGAUAAAAGCUUACCAAGCCGACGAUCUGUAGCUGGUCUGAGAGGAUGAUCAGCCACACUGGGACUGAGACACGGCCCAGACUCCUACGGGAGGCAGCAGUGGGGAAUUUUGGACAAUGGGCGAAAGCCUGAUCCAGCCAUGCCGCGUGCAGGAUGAAGGCCUUCGGGUUGUAAACUGCUUUUGUACGGAACGAACAGCCUCUUUCUAAUCAAGAGGGGUCAUGACGGUACCGUAAGAAUAAGCACCGGCUAACUACGUG